GUAUCAGUAGCAUAGUGGUUAGCGCACAGCCUCGGAUAGGUUGAGACGCGGGUUCGAAUCCCACCUGAGAUG
rfam:Nippostrongylus brasiliensis genome assembly, scaffold: NBR_scaffold0000796